rnacentral:rRNA from 1 species
CUACGUGCCAGCAGCCGCGGUAAUACGUAUGUCGCAAGCGUUAUCCGGAAUUAUUGGGCAUAAAGGGCAUCUAGGCGGCCAGAUAAGUCUGGGGUGAAAACUUGCGGCUCAACCGCAAGCCUGCCCUGGAAACUAUGUGGCUAGAGUACUGGAGAGGUGGACGGAACUGCACGAGUAGAGGUGAAAUUCGUAGAUAUGUGCAGGAAUGCCGAUGAUGAAGAUAGUUCACUGGACGGUAACUGACGCUGAAGUGCGAAAGCUAGGGGAGCAAACAGGAUUAGAUACCCUGGUAGUCCUAGCUGUAAACGAUGAUUACUGGGUGUGGGCACGAAGAGUGUCCGUGCCGAAGCUAAUGCGAUAAGUAAUCCGCCUGGGGAGUACGGCCGCAAGGCUGAAACUCAAAGGAAUUGACGGGGACCCGCACAAGCGGUGGAGCAUGUGGUUUAAUUCGACGCAACGCGAGGAACCUUACCAGAUCUUGACAUCCUG